rnacentral:lncRNA from 1 species
UCUUCCUGUAAAGGGCCAGGUGGGAAGCACUCGUAGGCCCCGUGGUCUCUGUCGUGUCUGCUGAAGCCUGCCGUAGUAGCAUGGAAGCAGUCAGAGAUGACGUGUAAGCAAAUGGUCCCGACUGACCUCCGGUAAAGCAUUGAUUCCGGAAGCAUUUAACAGACCUAACAACCUUUCAAACCGCAUGGCGUUUCUUUCCCGGAUCCCGUUUCAGGAACGUUUCUGUUGGCUACAAGGACCGUCUCCAACAUGCUUAGGCUCUGUGAACUUUCCCAGGAUCCUGAGUAGGGUAUCCGCCAUUCGUCCUUAGGGCUCCGGGAUGUCUCGUUCUUACUGUGUCCCUGCCAACCCUGGUCCCAUCUCGUCAUGAUCACCCACUGCAGAAGAGAGGAGGUGCUAGAGUGAACAGGGUCAGGGGAGCCCCGUUCAUCCCCAGGGUCCCAGAAUGAACCAGUGUUACCAUGUACCCCUGCCCUUGCCUUCCUCCCUGCUCUAAUGGCCGUGUGUUAGCCGGAGAUCAGUUUGGGUCUGGGUGCUAUGGGUCUGUUGCGCCUGUGGCCUUGGUCCGGCCUCUGUCCUUGUCUCUGUGAAAUGAGAGUGACUGUGCCUGAGAGCGUUCCAGCAAGACAAUGAUGAUCUCCACUGUCUGAUUCCCGCUUCCCAGGUUCUCACAAUAGAUGAGGAUCCUGUUUUUCAGCCAGCUGCCGCAGAGGGGCUGGACAUUUCUCCCUUCAGACAGGACCAGGAAGGCCCGGAAGCAUCUGAGGAAGGGUGUCGCCAUGAGUAGAGAAAUCGAGGCUAUGGGCGGAAGUGGGAAGAAGCGAGAGAGGAAGACUCAUGGAAAGCCUUGCUGCGCUUGCCAAAAGAACUGCCCUCGGACUCAAGAGGGCCACGUUCAAUGCCAACCUGACAUAAGAAGAGCCAUGUGACCAGAUCCCUGGUUUGGCAGAGGAGACAUGCGAGAAGACGGAACGUUUUGGCCGAGGAGACAUCUGGCAGGGUGGAACGGAGGGAACAGGUGUGGCAGAGAGAAUAUCUGAGAAGCUCGCAGGAUUCCCAGAAGGAGCACUGGGAGUAGAUUGCCUGUUUUCCCGAAGGAACGGCAAGUUCCAAAGCUGUGCUGUGGGCAGUGUUUACUUCAUGUCUGCUUUGCUGGCGGGCCAAGUAGCAACAGCUGCAGUCGGCGUGUUCUCUGAAGGCAGCGUGUGAAGGGUGGAGGGGUUGCUCUUCUUCCCAGGUGUCUUUUGAAGAGGCAGUCAAGUCAGCAGCUCACAGUGGCCUUCUGGUAACAUCGUAUGGGCUGGGUUACAGCACAUGCCGACUGCUAAGCCAGUCACUGGGGAAAACCAUGUGAUUGCUGUGAUGAGCUUAGAAUGAUCAUUCCUCCUUCAGGAGCUGGGGUGGGUUGAGGGAACGAUAAAGAUCCUGAUAACCUUGCAUUUCUCCAGCGAGAAAGAAGAAAUUCCGUGGAUAGGGAGCCAGCCAGGUUUCCUGCAGAGAUUCACGGGAAGCUUUUGAGCAGGGGAGUCAGAAGAUGAGCGAUUCUCACAGUAGACGAGGAGCCUGUUUUUCAGCUAGCUGCUGCAAGGAGCUGGACAUUUCUCCCUUCAAAUAGGACCUGGAAGGCCUGGAAGCAUCUGGAGAAGGGCAUGGCUGUGAGUAGAGAAACAGAGGAUACAGGCUAAAGCAGGAGGAAGCGAGAGGACUCACGGAAAGCCUUGCUGCACUCUCCAAAAGAGCUGCCCUUUUCACGUGAAGAGCUAUGUGAUCGGAUCCCCGGUUUGGCAGAGUAGACAUGCGAGAAGACUGAACGUUUCAUCGUUGAAACCUCUUAAAGGUGGAAUGUGUGGCAGAAAGAACGUCUGAGAAGCUCACGCGAUUUGCAGAAGGAACAUUUGUAGAAGAUUCCCUGUUUUCCGAAGGAAUGUCAAGUUCCAAAGCCAUGCCGUGGGCAGUUUUUAGUUCAUGUGUGCUUUUCCGGUGGACUGAGUAGCAACAGCUGCAGUUGGCGUGUUGUCUGAAGGCAGUAUCUGAAGUGUGGAUGGGUUGGUCUUCUUCCCAGGUGUCUUUUCAACAGGCAGUCAAGUCUGCAGCUCAUAGUGACCUUCCGGAAACAUCAUAUGGUCUGUAUUACAGCACAUGCCUAUUGCUAAACCCAUCACUGGUGAAGGCCAUGUGAUUCCUGUGAUGUGCUUAGAAUGAUCAUUUCUCUUUCGAGACCUGAGUUAACAAGUGCAGGGUUUGACUCAGGGUGUCAUUUGUUGGCAGGCUUUCAGGGUAGUGUUUUUGCCUCUCCCCUGAUCCUUCCUUUGUGUGGGUCUCCCAGUGCCGUGGCCUGUCAGCCCAUGGGUUUUGGGUGUCACACGUGCAUGUGGUUCCUGGAGUCUUAGGCAUGUGCUCUUUUCUUACCCAUUGAGUGUUUUUAGAGGAAGGUUAUGGAGCUGCUAAACCCAGCCCUUCUGGCUGUUAAGUGUCCUGCAUGAGCCCACGCACCUGAUUCCUGGGAUUUUACUGGGAAGCUGCUGAUGUCCACCUUCCGGCUCUUUUGUUCUUUGGGAGGCUGCCCUUUUUUGGCACCGGCAGGCUGCGAAUGGUUUUCUUCCAUAGAAACAUUUCAACAACUGCCUGGCCGUCAUCUAAUGGUUGUCUGACAUUUCUCGUGGUGGUGGGGGAAGCCCCUCAUACCCUGCUUAUGUCAGACCAGUUACCUAGAGUGACUGGAAUGUCUGACAGGAUUGCACAUUUGGCAGAAGAACGUCCGAGAAGAUUCAGUGUUUGGCAGAAGAAACCUCUGUCAGACGUGAACGUGUGACAGAAGGGCCAUCCAGGAAGAUUGCACACUGGGCAGAAAGAAGACUUAAGAACAUUGCAUGGACAGCAGAAGGAGUGCUUCGGGAGAUUGCCUGGUGGGCGCCAGGAACACCUGAGAUGAUGUCAUGGCAAACAGUGGAAAUGAGAGGUUUACAUUUAAUGUCUUGUUUACAUAAGGUAGUAAACUCUGGAGCACUUGUGGUUAGGGGUGAAAACUCACCCUGGGUGAAGGAAGAAUCUUCCCUCUUCCCAGAGGGGCAAUGACUGGAAACGAGCAAGUAGGUGGGGUCUUUAAAGGGCCACAGUACUAGGCUCUAUCCUGACAGCUGUUCAGACUGCCCCAAAAGGCUUGUGAGAAGUUGUUGCUAGGGCAUAACAGGACAGUUAGAUUAAGAGUAGGAGUGAUAGCUUCUUCAACACUUUGGAGCAGGAAGGAAUGGAAGCAAGAUACAGUUGGAAGAGGGUGUAGUGGGUGACUUGAUGAAUCGAGUUCAUGGUAUUAUUUUUGACUUGGAUUCUCCUUCAUUGGCAUGCUUCUGAGUUGGCGUCAUUGCCUCUGCCCUGAUCCUUCCCUUGAGUGGGGCUGUUCACCAGUGCAGCGGCCAGUGAGCUCUUUGGGCGGGGUGUGUGGCAUACACAGUGCGAUGUCUGGAAUCUUACACGUGCUUACUUGAGGCAUUCUUACUCCACCGGUCGAGUGUUCUCAAAGAAAGAUGAUGGAGCUGCUAAACCUUGCCCAUUUUGAUCUGUUAUGUGAGACUUGCCUUUCGCCUUCUGUCAUGAUUGUGAAGUGUCCCCAGCCAUGUGGAACUGACACAUAUUGCUUGUCUCUGAACUUCUCAGCUGCCUGCAGAUCUUCCUGUUUUUCAGCUGCAGUUAGGGUUUGUCUGAGGAGAAGCAUAACAUCCCUCCAGGCUUACCCUGGUUGCUCAGUGAAGAAUAAAGUACAGGGAACAUGAGAGAAUACAUGGGAGAUCAAUCAAGAUGCUACUUCAGUAAUCCAUGACAAUGACAACGUAAAGUAAUGCAAGGUGCACGUGAUGGGUAUGGCCAAAUGCUCCACAAAUAAAUGUGUUGAAUGAAUGAACAAAUGAAUAAGCGAAGUGAAUGGAACAUCAAACUGCAUAAAAAUAUAUUUAUUCAUAAAUGAGAGGUGAUGAUUGCCAACAUAUCAUAAUCAGACUCUGACCUUGGUUACUUAUGAGUUUGACAACGAAGAGGAAAGAGGAUCAGAAUGGAUCUACAUUUGUCCUGUGUCAAUGGCUAUCCAGAAGCGGUAACUUUGCUGGUGCACAGAAAGUGCCAGCUUAACGUGUGUGACGGUGAAAACACGACACCUCUGAUGAAGAUAUAUAGUAGCCAGUUAUUUCAGCAUGAGAUGGAUUUGGUUUAAAUACAUAGAAUAAAAAUGGAUUUAUUUCAUUGAAAUGUAACUAAUUUGUGAACCUAUGGAAUAUUUAUUUGUAUUUUCUAGAAUUUACAAUGUGUUUCUUGGUCUAAUACUGACAGGCUAUACAAUGCCAAGAAGAUGUUUAUGCAACUAUUCUGCUGGACUUUGGUGCCUAUCCAGAUAUUACAGAUAUCAACAGAAAAACUGCUCUCCACUGUGCUGUCUAUAGUGAGAAUAUGUCAGUGGUGGCAAAACUGCUUUCACACAACACAAACAUCUAAGUGAAAAAUGGAGUAGAGAAUAACCAACAUUAUUUUCAAAAUAUUUGAAAUCCAUUUGCUUUAACACUGACAUGCGUUAGGGUCAGUUUUUCAUAUUUGGAAGCUCAAGCAUGCUCUUCUGUGAAUGAAAAUAUUCUGAAGUAACUGUCUAAUAAUUUAAAUAUUAAUGUUUUUAAAGAAGUAUUAGACGGUAUAGCUUUCUUUCAUGCAUUUAUGAUAAAUAUUUAAAUUUAUUAAAGGUAAAAGUUUGUUUUUCAAAUAUUUUAGCCACUCAAGUUUUUGUUCUUUCUAAUUAGUGUAAAACAACACAGAAAAGCAAAAUGUGCCUGCAUAAACUGAGUCAACAUGUAAACCUUUUGAUAUUUAUUAUUAAAUAAGUUAUUUGGCAAUGUAUCAAAUUUUUAAAUGUGUGUCCCUUUUGACCUAGAAAUUCUACUCCCAGGAAUUUCUCCUAAGAAGAUAAUCAGAAAAGUUUACAAAGAUGAAUAGAAAAGAAGAGUCACUGCAGCCUUAUUUGUAAAAGUGAAAAAUAGCAACAGCCCAAAUGUCAUGAAUGGAGAAUUAAUAUAUGGUGCAUCCAUACAAAAAUACUGUGCAGCGAGUAAGCCAAUGAAGCCCAAAAUUUCUGACAUGGACAUUGACAUAGCAGAGUGACAAUAACGAGGUUAUAAAACAUCAUCAGUGAAAGUUCCAAGUGUGAAAGCAAGGAUAAAUCAAGAUGCCUCUUGGCAUGAAACUUUACUGGACAACCUUGAAGUCAUGCCAGUACCCAGUCUGCUGAGACCAAUGCUCAAUAGACAUUUCAGCACAGGAAGCCUCUUAAAUCCCUUCAAAGGAAAAUGGGUGUCAUGAAAAUGUCAAGCCUGGCCUUCUCACUACUUACUCAAAAAGUACUUCCUAAGCGCCUACUUUGAGUCACAUCUGGGUCACAGGAAAGUGUGGUGGAAAGUCUGCACAUGGCCCAGAAAGCUCCUUCAGCUCCAACAUUCAGAACCUGCCUGCCUGCCUUCUGAGUAUCCCAAGGGCACUGUCUGACUCUUUCAUACCCACCAUUUGUCUCCCUGGACUUCUUGCUAAAUCCCUGUCUUCACUUCCUCACUUAGGGAAUUCAUGCCAGCUCUCUGACUUGAUCUAUGACCCUGCUCAUCACUGUAGGAGAAAAAAAAAAAAAUACAACCACCUUUCCAUGCUGUCAACUUAAUUAUCCCUCCCACAUUUAUCUCAUGCCUGAAAUGUAUUACCUAAAUGUUGAGUGUGCAGUUCAGGGUAAAACUGACCAACUGGAGCACAUCCAAAGAAGAGCAACCAUGGUAAAAAGAAGCUACAUCAUCAUGUCUGCUAAGGAAGGCUUGAAAUAACUAUGAAUUUUUAUUCUGGAGAAAACGAGACUAAACAAAACCAAUAAAAAUUACUCAAAAAAUAUGAAGCGUUGUUAUGAAGACAAAGGAAGAGGCACUUUCUAAAGAGACUCAAUGUAAACACUGGAAAACAUGGCAGCAUUUUCUUUAAACAGCAUUCAAUGAUGAAAUGGCUACUUGUGGUUCCAGAGGGCUCCCUGUCAUUGCGGGGUGGAGGACUAGAGUGUUUAAGAAGAGGCAAGAAGUGUAAUUUUUUUGUUCUUUAGUGUGGAGCACAGUGUGGGACACAAAGUAGGUUCUCAACAAUUUGAAAGAAUGAGUGGGUGAAAAUAUAAAUGCUCAGAAGAUAUAAAAACUCAGAAGACACUUUGAGAGGGAUAUUGUUUAAUCACUUUAUGCAUCUGAGAGGGAGCAUGACUAGAGGAUUUCUGAGGUCCCUGGGACUGGAAUUAUAUAACUCCAAGGCACUGCAACACCUCAAAGGCAAGACACAGUUCAGACAGAUCAUUUCUCUUAAUAAUCAGGCAUGGGACUAUUGCCCAGGAAUUUUAAAGACAUCUUAAACCUAGUUAUUACAUAUCACAAAACCUCUUGGAAUAAAUGAGUUUCUCACACUAA